rnacentral:rRNA from 1 species
AUUGAACGCUGGCGGCAUGCUUUACACAUGCAAGUCGAACGGCAGCACGGGGGUAACCCUGGUGGCGAGUGGCGAACGGGUGAGGAAUACAUCGGAACGUAUCUUUAAGUGGGGGAUAACGCAUCGAAAGGUGUGCUAAUACCGCAUAAUCUCUGAGGAGAAAAGCAGGGGAUCGCAAGACCUUGCGCUAUUGGAGCGGCCGAUGCCUGAUUAGCUUGUUGGUGAGGUAAAAGCUCACCAAGGCUUCGAUCAGUAGCUGGUCUGAGAGGACGACCAGCCACACUGGGACUGAGACACGGCCCAGACUCCUACGGGAGGCAGCAGUGGGGAAUUUUGGACAAUGGGGGAAACCCUGAUCCAGCCAUGCCGCGUGAGUGAAGAAGGCCUUCGGGUUGUAAAGCUCUUUCAGCCGGAACGAAACGGUUACGGUUAAUACCCGUGACUACUGACGGUACCGGAAGAAGAAGCACCGGCUAACUACGUGCCAGCAGCCGCGGUAAUACGUAGGGUGCGAGCGUUAAUCGGAAUUACUGGGCGUAAAGCGUGCGCAGGCGGUUUUGUAAGUCAGAUGUGAAAUCCCCGGGCUUAACCUGGGAACUGCGUUUGAAACUG